AGAGUUUGAUCCUGGCUCAGGAUGAACGCUGGCGGUAUGCCUAACACAUGCAAGUCGUACGAGAGUUUUUAACUCUAGUGGCGGACGGGUGAGUAACACGUGAGAAUUUGCCUUUAGGAGGGGGAUAACAAUUGGAAACGAAUGCUAAUACCCCAUAUGCUUUUGAGUGAAACGGAUUUAUCCGCCUAGAGAGAAGCUCGCGGCUGAUUAGCUUGUUGGUAAGGUAAGAGCUUACCAAGGCGACGAUCAGUAUCUGGUUUGAGAGGACGAUCAGACACACUGGAACUGAGACACGGUCCAGACUCCUACGGGAGGCAGCAGUGGGGAAUUUUCCGCAAUGGGCGAAAGCCUGACGGAGCAAUACCGCGUGAGGGAAGACUGCCUAUGGGUUGUAAACCUCUUUUUUCAGGGAGGAAUAAAUGACGUGUACCUGAAGAAUAAGCAUCGGCUAACUCCGUGCCAGCAGCCGCGGUAAGACGGAGGAUGCAAGUGUUAUCCGGAAUCACUGGGCGUAAAGCGUCUGUAGGUGGCCUAAUAAGUCAACUGUUAAAUCUUGAGGCUCAACUUCAAAAUCGCAGUCGAAACUAUUAGACUAGAGUAUAGUAGAGGUAAAGGGAAUUUCCAGUGGAGCGGUGAAAUGCGUAGAUAUUGGAAAGAACACCGAUGGCGAAAGCACUUUACUGGGCUAUUACUAACACUCAGAGACGAAAGCUAGGGUAGCAAAUGGGAUUAGAUACCCCAGUAGUCCUAGCCGUAAACAAUGGAUACUAGAUGUUGAACAGAUCGACCUGUGCAGUAUCAAAGCUAACGCGUUAAGUAUCCCGC
rnacentral:rRNA from 1 species